rnacentral:rRNA from 1 species
AGCGUAGGUGGCCUAACAUGUCAACUGUGAAAACCCGGAGCUCAACUCCGGACUUGCAGUUGAAACUGGUAGGAUUGAGGACGGUAGAGGAAGACGGAACUGCCAGUGUAGGGGUAAAAUCCUUAGAUAUUGGCAGGAACGCCGGUGACGAAGGUGGUUUUCUGGGCCGGUUCUGACACUGAUGCUCGAAAGCCAGGGGAGCGAACG